rnacentral:rRNA from 1 species
UGGGGAAUAUUGCACAAUGGGCGCAAGCCUGAUGCAGCCAUGCCGCGUGUAUGAAGAAGGCCUUCGGGUUGUAAAGUACUUUCAGUCGGGAGGAAGGUGGUAAGGUUAAUAACCUUAUCAAUUGACGUUACCGACAGAAGAAGCACCGGCUAACUCCGUGCCAGCAGCCGCGGUAAUACGGAGGGUGCAAGCGUUAAUCGGAAUUACUGGGCGUAAAGCGCACGCAGGCGGUUUGUUAAGUCAGAUGUGAAAUCCCCGGGCUCAACCUGGGAACUGCAUCUGAUACUGGCAAGCGUGAGUCUCGUAGAGGGGGGUAGAAUUCCAGGUGUAGCGGUGAAAUGCGUAGAGAUCUGGAGGAAUACCGGUGGCGAAGGCGGCCCCCUGGACGAAGACUGACGCUCAGGUGCGAAAGCGUGGGGAGCAAACAGG